ensembl:processed_transcript Gm43646 predicted gene 43646
UCCCGCAGGGCCGCGGCCCUUACCUGCAGCUCGGAAAAUGGAUAGAACUGGAGGGCAUCCUGUUAAGCAAAACAAGCCAGACACAGACAAAUAAAUAGCACAUCUUCUCUCUUGUGUGGAAUCUCAACUAGAAGACGAAAACAAACUGAACACACAUACGUGGAAGGGAGUGUUUGAGAAGAGGGAGGUUUGAGUACCAGUGCUCAGCGGGCCAAGAGGAUGAUGAACGGUGAACACGGUUGAGAACCCUAUUACUUCUGCCCUCUUCCCAGAAGUGCCGGAGGCGACCUGUACUCCAUUGACCCAGAAACCCCUUUCAAAUCAUGUAAAUCAAGAGGUUCAAAUCUUUGUGUUAAUUUUAAGAAAAAAAAAAAAAAAAAGGCUUUCCAGAAAGCCUUCUAAGUGUCUGAAGGAUGUGACUUUAAAGAAGCCACGUGUGCCUUUCUGGCAGUGGAGUCGAGAAGUC